rnacentral:rRNA from 1 species
GACGAACGCUGGCGGCGUGCCUAACACAUGCAAGUCGAGCGAUGAAGCCCUUCGGGGUGGAUUAGCGGCGGACGGGUGAGUAACACGUGGGUAACCUGCCUCAAAGAGGGGGAUAGCCUCCCGAAAGGGAGAUUAAUACCGCAUAAUAUCAUGUUUUCGCAUGAAGAUAUGAUUAAAGGAGCAAUCCGCUUUGAGAUGGACCCGCGGCGCAUUAGCUAGUUGGUGAGGUAACGGCUCACCAAGGCCACGAUGCGUAGCCGACCUGAGAGGGUGAUCGGCCACAUUGGAACUGAGACACGGUCCAGACUCCUACGGGAGGCAGCAGUGGGGAAUAUUGCACAAUGGGCGAAAGCCUGAUGCAGCAACGCCGCGUGAGUGAUGACGGCCUUCGGGUUGUAAAACUCUGUCUUUGGGGACGAUAAUGACGGUACCCAAGGAGGAAGCCACGGCUAACUACGUGCCAGCAGCCGCAGUAA